rnacentral:tRNA from 1 species
GCCCCUGUAGUACAAAUAAGUACACCAGCCUUGUAACCUGAAAAUGAAGACCCUCUUCCAUGGGCAAAAAA